GAUGAGAAGUACAUUCCACCUGCCUUCAAAGAGUUUGAAGUCCAGUGAAAGACACAGACAGAUUGUGUAAUAAAGAAGCUGGCUGGCUUUUCCUGGAGUUUCCAGAAAGCAUCGGAAGUGUCUCAUCUCCCUUUACUCCCCUCCACUUCCAACCCACACUCAGGCAGAGGUGGAUGUAAACAGCAAAAUAAUCAAAUGCUUGCUGGUGGAAGGAUGAGAGACAAACCGCAGGGGAGCCUGAGGUCCUCCAGAGGGAUAUUAGUGAGCGGCUUGCCUGAGCAAAAGCCAUUUGUACUCACCCCACAAUCGUUAGCUCCAUCUCCACACAUGCCCACAUAGUAACUGCAGGAGACAGGAGAAGAAGGAUUAGUAGUUUGGUGUGCAAGCAUAAUACAAAUAGAAGAAUGAAAAUUAAUAUGGCUGCCAAAGAAAAGGAGUUUCUGAUGGAAGACACUGCCUGCCUUCUAUUAUAAGUAAUACAUUGUCCAGUCUCUUGGUUCUCCACCAGCUGCCAGGUCACAGAGGCAGGAACAAAUUCUUCUGGUUCAUUGGCUUCAACAAUGAUCACUUGGCUGCCUGGAGGGAUCAUUUCCGAAUUCUUUGCAACAGUAACGGCUGUUUGAAGGUUGUCACCUAGAAGACAAAGAAACUUUGCUUUCUGUGUGUACAAACCUCUCUUCAGCAACAAGAACUGAGGUCGCCCUUUUUCACUCUGCUUAGUGUUCUGUGGGGGCAUUUACUGCUUUCUGCCUUAUUUUAUCUUCCUCUCUGCUGUAGACUGCCCCUCAUGGGCAAACACUAUAUUCCCAUCUCCCUCUCACAAUAUUCAGCAUCAUAUCCUGUCCAUGUGUAUUUCAAAACCUGUGUGAAUUCAUAAAGAAAUACUUCAGCAUUUAUGACGAAUCCUCAGAAGUCAGACUACUGUAAGUGGUGAAUAUAGCAUGAUCUCAGCCUGAUAGCAUAAAACCAUCCACGGGGUCUGGAAACCAACUAAGCAAAGAACACACAGGGUCAGGCUGUGCUUGGGUUUGAUGAUUAUACACCAUGCCUGGCCCUACUGCCCUAGAGGACCAUCAACCAGAGGCUCAAUCCUCUGUGCAGAGGGAUCAUUGGGUUUCUUGGUGAGAACACGCCCAUUGUUGCUCAUUUACUGUGAGCCUAGAGGCACUGCACAGAUCCUGGCUAGGAGGGGUAGUCAUUAGACAAAAGAGAAUGAGAUACAGUCCCUACCUCCAAAGCUUCUGGUCCUGUCGGGGCAGCUGUACAUGUUUUCAGGUAAGGGACUACAGGGUAACAAAUUCAACAACAAAACAUUUUUCUCUGUCUCUGACACAUGAACUCAGCUCACACAUCUUGUUCUUAUGCCUGGGAUACAAUCAACUUGCCAGGCACCUAGAAACAAAUAGAUACCUGUAAUCAUCACAGUCCUGAUAUGGGCCUCGCUCAGUUCCUUCAAGACCGGUUUGGUUUCUUUUUUCAAACGAUUCUCCAUGAUGAGAAGUCCCAGAAAUGUUAACUCUGACUCCACUUUUUCUCUUUGUAUUCAGGAGAAAAUCAAUAUUAAAGUAUAUCUAUGUCGGCUCAAUAGUUCAAUUUAUUUCUUCUUUUAAAAAUUUCGUUGUAAGUCUUAUUAAUGUAAUACAGGCACAUUUUAAAAAUCAAAACAAACUUAAAAGCUUAUAAUGAAAACCAACAGUCUGUGUCUCCACACCAUCUCCCCCCUCUCCUAGAGGUGUUCUAAAUCUGUUUUUUCCAGUUUCCAAUUUAUUUUUAAAAGCAAUUGUGCUUAUCUUCCAACUCUUCUGUUGGUUUUUAAAUAUGUUAAUCCAAUACUUUAUUUUUUAAUUUAUCAUAGCUUUCUCUUUUUUGAGUUUGCAACCGUUUCAGUUUAUUUGGCAUUUGUUAAGUGCAUUCUGCAUACAUACAAGACACGAUAGUAGUAGUUGAAUACGGUGUCAUUCAUCUUAGUCUCCAUCUGUCACCUUGAAUAAUAUUUACUGGCAUCACACAGGGCUCUGAACAGUUUUCAGAAUUUGAAGGUGGCUUAUAGUCCAACUGGGUUGCAUUAGUUAUAUAGGAACUUUCCUCUGAAAUGGAAUGAUUCUAGGGUGGCUUUUUAAAAAGUAAAUCUGGGGGCCAAGAACUCUUUUUUGUUCUUUGUUCAUUUUUCUGUGCACCAUGGUGUUAAGAUUACAGGGAGAUAGAUUUAAACAAUAUGCAUAUAGCUAUGAAGCCAUUACUAUAAUCAAGGUAAUAAACAGAUCCAUCACCUCAAAAAGUUUCCUUCUGCCCUGUUUUAUAUGUAUGUGUGCAUGUGUGUCAAAAUCACUUCUCUAGAAGGUAUUCAUCUUGCAUAACUGAAACUUUAUACCCAUUAAUGACAACUUCCUAUUUCCCUCUCCCGCUAGCCCUUGGUAAUCACCAUUCUACUCUCUGCUGUCUACUUCUAUGAAUAUGUCUAUUUCAGAUGCUUCAGAUACGUAGGAUCACACAGUAUUAGGCCUUCUGUGACUGGUUUAUUUCACUUAGUGUGAUGUCUUUCAGUUUCACUCAUGUUGUCUCAUAUGGCAAGAUUUUCUCCUUUUCUAAGGCUUAAUAAUAUUCCA